rnacentral:rRNA from 1 species
GUGAGGAAUAUUGGUCAAUGGGCGCAAGCCUGAACCAGCCAUGCCGCGUGCAGGAAGACGGUCCUAUGGAUUGUAAACUGCUUUUAUUUGGGAAUAAACUCCGGUACGUGUACCGGCCUGAAGGUACCAAAUGAAUAAGCACCGGCUAACUCCGUGCCAGCAGCCGCGGUAAUACGGAGGGUGCAAGCGUUAUCCGGAAUCAUUGGGUUUAAAGGGUCCGCAGGCGGUCUUAUAAGUCAGUGGUGAAAGCCUACAGCUCAACUGUAGAACUGCCAUUGAUACUGUAGGACUUGAAUUCGAUCGAAGUGGGCGGAAUGUGACAUGUAGUGGUGAAAUGCUUAGAUAUGUCACAGAACACCGAUAGCGAAGGCAGCUCACUAGGUCUGGAUUGACGCUCAGGGACGAAAGCGUGGGGAGCAAACAGGAUUAGAAACCCGGGUAGUCC